rnacentral:rRNA from 1 species
UAGGGAAUCUUCGGCAAUGGGGGCAACCCUGACCGAGCAACGCCGCGUGAGUGAAGAAGGUUUUCGGAUCGUAAAGCUCUGUUGUAAGUCAAGAACGGGUGUGAGAUUGGAAAGUUCACACUGUGACGGUAGCUUACCAGAAAGGGACGUCUAACUACGUGCCAGCAGCCGCGGUAAUACGUAGGUCCCGAGCGUUGUCCGGAUUUAUUGGGCGUAAAGCGAGCGCAGGCGGUUUGAUAAGUCUGAAGUUAAAGGCUGUGGCUCAACCAUAGUUCGCUUUGGAAACUGUCAAACUUGAGUGCAGAAGGGGAGAGUGGAAUUCCAUGUGUAUCGGUGAAAUGCGUAGAUAUAUGGAGGAACACCGGUGGCGAAAGCGGCUCUCUGGUCUGUAACUGACGCUGAGGCUCGAAAGCGUGGGGAGCGAACAGG